rnacentral:rRNA from 1 species
GAUGAACGCUAGCGGCAGGCUUAAUACAUGCAAGUCGAGGGGCAGCGCAGUGUAGCAAUACAUAGGCGGCGACCGGCAAACGGGUGCGGAACACGUACAGAACCUUCCUUCGAGCGGGGAAUAGCCCAGAGAAAUUUGGAUUAAUACCCCAUAGUAUAGUGGAGAGGCAUCUCUUUACUAUUAAAGAUUUAUCACUUGAAGAUGGCUGUGCGGCUGAUUAGGAGUUGGCGGGGUAACGGCCCACCAAGCCUGCGAUCAGUAACUGGUGUGAGAGCACGACCAGUCACACGGGCACUGAGACACGGGCCCGACUCCUACGGGAGGCAGCAGUAAGGAAUAUUGGUCAAUGGACGAAAGUCUGAACCAGCCAUGCCGCGU